GCCUGGGUAGCUAAGUCAGUUGAGCAUCUGACUUCAGCUCAGGUCAUGAUCUCACUGUUUGUAGGUUUGAUCCCUGCAUCAGUCU
rnacentral:tRNA from 1 species